CCUGGUUGUACCCGCCUGUAGUCAUAUGCUUGUCUCAAAGAUUAAGCCAUGCAUUUCAGUAAAGUCUAAACUGAAGUGAAACCGCAAAUGGCUCAUUAAGUCAGUUAUGGUUUCUUAAUCCAUAACCAACUUACUUGGAUAACUGUAGUAAUUCUAGAGCUAAUACAUGCAAACGGAAUUCUUGUCAGACAUGCUAAAAAAUUUUAUUUUUAUUAGAUCAAAACCAAUCGGUGACGUAUGUCUCGCUGUUUAGGUGAUUCUGAAUAACUUCAUGCCGAUCGCUUGUUCCAUAGAUUGUUUAGGUGAUUCUGAAUAACUUCAUGCCGAUCGCAUGGCCAUCUAUCACCGGCGAAGUAUCUUUCAAAUAUCUGUCUUAUUAACUGUCGAUGGUAGAUUCUGCGCCUAUCAUCGUUAUAACGAGUAACGGGGAAUCAGAGUUCGAUUCGGAAGAGGGAGUCUCAGAAACAGCUACCACAUCUAAGGAAGACAGAGUGUGCACAAAUUACUCACUCCCGGCACGGGGAAGUAGUGACGAAAAAAAACGAUACGGGACUCAAGGCCCAGAAAUAGGAACGAGUACAGUCUAAACAAUUUAACGAGGACCAAGUGGAGGACAAGCCUGUUGCCAGGAGCAGCGGCAAUUCUAGCUCCAGUAUAUUGAAGCAGUUGAUGUUGACAAGCUCGUAGUUGAAACUUAGUGUCAAUAUGUAAUGUCUCGCGGAGUUUAACUGGCAUUAUGUACUACGUCCUACCGUUGGGUUUAGCUCCUUGCUGGUGGUCCAGCUAAUCUCCCAUCGCGGUGCUUUUCACUGAGUGUCUAGUUGGGACGAUACGUUUACUUUGAACAGAUUAUAGUGCUUAAAGCAGGCUACCUUCGCUUGAAUACUUCGUGCAUGGAAUAACGGAAUCGGAUCUCGGUAAUUAUUUUGUCGGUUUUUGGAAAUCUGAGGUAAUUGGUACAAUUGGGGGAUUCACAUAUCGUCGUUAGAUGUGAAAUUCUUGGAUCUUCGCAAGAGAGAAGCGAAAGCAUUUGCCAAAAAUGUUUCACUAAACACGAACGAAAGUUUGAAUUGCGAAGUCGACCAGAUACCGCUCUAGUUCUAACCAUAAACGAUCAGCGAUCCGCCGAAAUUCUUCAAAUGACUCGGCGGGCAGUUUCUGGGGAGUCAAAGCUCUCGUGUCCGGGGAAGUAUGGUUGCAAAGCUGAUACUUAAAGGAUUUGACUUUUUUGAUUCGAUGUGUGGUGGUGCAUGGCCGUUCUUAGUUGGUGGAACGACUUGUCCGUUUAAUUCCGAUAAUAAACGAAAAUCCAGCAUCCUAAAUAGACAUAACUUAUGGCAUCUCGAAGGCCCCUGGCUUCAGUCCGUUGGAUUCUACUAUACCAACAUACAGAAAGAUGUUCUUAGGGGAACAGGGGAAUUGAGCGAUAACAGGACUGUGACAUAGAUGUUCUAGACCACACACGCGCUAACUUUGCCGAAAGGCCCUGGUAACACGAUGAACCUCCUUCGUGUUAGAGAUUCAGUCUUGCAAUUACUCCUCAUGACAAUUCCCAGUAAUCGCGAGUCGUAAGCUCGCGUUGGUUACGUCCUUUGUACACAACUUCCGUUGCUACUAGCGAUUGAAUGAUGCAGUGAGAUCUUCUGUUGCGCCGACAAUGGCUCGUCAUUGCCGAUGUUGCCAGGAAGAUGACCAAACUUCAUCAUUUAGAGGAAGUAAAAUUUGUAACAAUGUUUCUGCAGGCAAACCUUCGGAAG
rnacentral:rRNA from 1 species